GCAGUCGAAACGGCAGCAAUAUUAAAUUUAUUUAGUAGAUGGCGAGUGGCGCACGGGUGAGUAACGCGUACACAACCUACCCUCGAGAGGGGUAUAGCCCUGGGAAACUGGGAAUAAUACCGCAUAAUGUUUAUGAUGUGCAUGCAUUAUAAAUUAAAGUUGAGGCGCUCGAGGAUGGGUGUGCGUUCCAUUAGCUAGUUGGUGAGGUAAAGGCUCACCAAGGCGACGAUGGGUAGGGGGCGUGAGAGCGUGAUCCCCCACACGGGUACUGAGACACGGACCCGACUCCUACGGGAGGCAGCAGUAAGGAAUAUUGGACAAUGGGCGGAAGCCUGAUCCAGCCAUCCCGCGUGCAGGAUUGACAGCCCUAUGGGUUGUAAACUGCUUUUAUAAUGGAAGAAACCCCCCGACGUGUCGGGGGCUGACGGUACAUUAAGAAUAAGCACCGGCUAACUCCGUGC
rnacentral:rRNA from 1 species